UGUGAAGGUACAAGGGAUACCGUCCCAUUGAGGUCAGAGCUGGCUGGCUGAUUAGCCCCAACUGCUGCACCUGGGUAAAGACCUGCAGCUUAACUGGCUGAUGCUCAUAAAAGGAGGAGCAGAAAGUGGCAGAGUGAGCUGUAAUACCUCCCAGAGGCUGAAGUAACUGCUGCUCUAAGAAACAAAUGAACAGAAGGGAGACUAUGGGAAAUGCUAUUAUCACAAAGGCUCUGAGACUAACACGGCUGCUACUCUGAAACCAGUUAAAGUGUGUUAGUCAUCUGAUGGACAGCCCAUUAAGAGAUUUCUUGGAUUCUUACACAACAGCCCACACAUGGGAGACUUGGACACACUUGAAAAUAUGGGCAUCAAUAUAAAAGAGAAAUUCAUUAGUCAACAUGCUCGCAAUGCUUCAAAAUAACUACACAAGAACACUGGCUUGAGGUUUUAUGCAAUCUCUGCUGAUCCUGAAGUCCUAUCUGAAUAAGAACGACGCUGCCAUUACAGGUGAUUCUGAUGCACAAGUAAAGAAAACACAGCCAUAUUGAUUUUCUUCAUUUAAUUUUGAGCUGCAUUUUUCACAUGGGUGAAAUAAUGUUUGUCAAAUAGACAAAAACAGAGAAAUUAUAUUUUAAAACCUCUAGAAGAGUAUUUAAAAAUGAGAAACAACAAAAUAUUUUCAGAAACGCAGUUUUAAUCAUAAGUAGCCAGUAGUUUAAAAAGUAUAAAAGAUACUUAUAAAGUUUGAAGUACAUAAAGGUUAAGCAGCAAAUGAA